GUGCUUGCUUCAGUAACACAUAUACUAAAAUCGGAAAAAAUUAAGAGAUUAUCAGGGCCCCUGCGCAAGGAUGACAUGCAAAUUUGUGAAGUGUUCCAUUUUUUU